UGGUCUUUGUAGAUGGAAUCAAGACCUCUGGAGUUGUUAGGCUCUUGCUCUGCAUCCAGGCUGACUCGUUCAAUAUGGGUUUCUCUUUCAGAUGCGGAGAGACAAGAUGCGUGCACCAGAGCUACGGAGGAGGGGAGCGGAGCGCCGUGAGGAGGUGGGUCCGGGAGUGGAAUCAGAGGGAAGAUGUGGCUGGUGGCUCUAUGAGUAGCUGAUGGGGUUCUUUUUUUCUUUUUAUUUUGAAGGUACGAAGCAAGGAGCAAAGCAGG